UACAGAGGGGGCAAGCGUUAUUCGGAAUUAUUGGGCGUAAAGGGCGCGUAGGCGGCUUGGCAAGUGGAAGGUGAAAUCCCUCGGCUUAACCGAGGAACUGCCCUCCAAACUGCUUUGCUUGAGGCCGGGAGAGGUAAGUGGAAUUCCCAGUGUAGCGGUGAAAUGCGUAGAUAUUGGGAGGAACACCAGUGGCGAAGGCGGCUUACUGGACCGGUUCUGACGCUGAGGCGCGAAAAGCGUGGGGAGCAAACGGG
rnacentral:rRNA from 1 species